AUUGAACGCUGGCGGCAUGCCUUACACAUGCAAGUCGAACGGUAACGGGCCUUCGGGUGCCGACGAGUGGCGAACGGGUGAGUAAUACAUCGGAACGUGCCCGAUCGUGGGGGAUAACGAGGCGAAAGCUUUGCUAAUACCGCAUACGAACUACGGAUGAAAGGAGGGGACCGCAAGGCCUUGCGGGGACGGAGCGGCCGAUGGCAGAUGAGGUAGUUGGUGGGAUAAAAGCUUACCAAGCCGCCGAUCUGUAGCUGGUCUGAGAGGAUGAUCAGCCACACUGGGACUGAGACACGGCCCAGACUCCUACGGGAGGCAGCAGUGGGGAAUUUUGGACAAUGGGCGCAAGCCUGAUCCAGCCAUGCCGCGUGCAGGAUGAAGGCCUUCGGGUUGUAAACUGCUUUUGUACGGAACGAAAAGCCUUCUUCUAAUACAGGAGGGUCAUGACGGUACCGUAAGAAUAAGCACCGGCUAACUACGUGCCAGCAGCCGCGGUAA
rnacentral:rRNA from 1 species